rnacentral:rRNA from 1 species
GUGGGGAAUAUUGGACAAUGGGCGAAAGCCUGAUCCAGCCAUGCCGCGUGUGUGAAGAAGGUCUUCGGAUUGUAAAGCACUUUAAGUUGGGAGGAAGGGCAGUAAGUUAAUACCUUGCUGUUUUGACGUUACCGACAGAAUAAGCACCGGCUAACUUCGUGCCAGCAGCCGCGGUAAUACGAAGGGUGCAAGCGUUAAUCGGAAUUACUGGGCGUAAAGCGCGCGUAGGUGGUUUUGUAAGUUGGAGGUGAAAUCCCCGGGGUCAACCUGGGAACUGCCUCCAAAACUGCAUGACUAGAGUACGGUAGAGGGUAGUGGAAUUUCCUGUGUAGCGGUGAAAUGCGUAGAUAUAGGAAGGAACACCAGUGGCGAAGGCGACUACCUGGACUGAUACUGACACUGAGGUGCGAAAGCGUGGGGAGCAAACAGGAUUAGAAACCCGUGUAGUCC